AUGCUAAAUAAGCUUUAAUCAAAUUCAGAGAAAAUUCAAAAGAAUUCCAAAGAAAUAAUAAGAAAUCUUAAAAAAAUAUUAGAAUGAUUACAAACAUAUGUCAAAUACAUCUCAAUUCAAUUUUAAUUUAAUCCUAGUUGAAAUCUUAUUGGACUUCAUUCAAACUUUAGGCCAAAAAUUAACUAAAUCUUAAAUCUAAACAAAAUCAAAUAAAAUCCUAAACCCUAAAUCAAAUCUUGAUCAAAUCCUAACCAAACCUUAAAUCCUAAACCAAACUCCAAAUUCUAAAUCAAAUCCUAACUAAAUCCUAAACCCUAAAUUUAAUCCUAAUCAAACUCUAAAUCCUAAAUCAAAUCCUAAUCCUAAAUCAAAUCCUAACUAAAUUCUAAAUCCUAAAUCAAAUCUUAAUCAUAAAUCAAAUCUUAACCAAAUUCUAAUCAAAUUCUAAUUCUAAAUUAAAUCCUAACCAAACUCUAAUCCUAAUUCUAAAUCCUAAAUCAAACCCUAAUCAAAUUCUAAUCCUAAAUCAAAUCUUAAUCAACUUUAAACCAAAUCCUAAAUCCUAAAUCAAAUCCUAAUUAAAUCUUAAUCCUAAAUCAAAUCCUAAUCAAAUCCUAAAUCAUAAACCAAAUCUUAACUAAAUCCUAAUCCUAAAUCAAACCCUGACUAAAUCCUAAACCCUAAAUCAA
rnacentral:lncRNA from 1 species